GCGAGUGAGCGGCAAGAGCUCAGAUUUGAAAUCGUGCUUUGCGGCACGAGUUGUAGAUUGCAGGUUGGAGUCUGUGUGGAAGGCGGUGUCCAAGUCCCUUGGAACAGGGCGCCCAGGAGGGUGAGAGCCCCGUGGGAUGCCGGCGGAAGCAGUGAGGCCCUUCUGACGAGUCGAGUUGUUUGGGAAUGCAGCUCCAAGCGGGUGGUAAAUUCCAUCUAAGGCUAAAUACUGGCGAGAGACCGAUAGCGAACAAGUACUGUGAAGGAAAGAUGAAAAGCACUUUGAAAAGAGAGUGAAACAGCACGUGAAAUUGUUGAAAGGGAAGGGUAUUGCGCCCGACAUGGGGAUUGCGCACCGCUGCCUCUCGUGGGCGGCGCUCUGGGCUUUCCCUGGGCCAGCAUCGGUUCUUGCUGCAGGAGAAGGGGUUCUGGAACGUGGCUCUUCGGAGUGUUAUAGCCAGGGCCAGAUGCUGCGUGCGGGGACCGAGGACUGCGGCCGUGUAGGUCACGGAUGCUGGCAGAACGGCGCAACACCGCCC
rnacentral:rRNA from 1 species